GACGAACGCUGGCGGCGUGCCUAAUACAUGCAAGUAGUACGCAGUUGCGAACGGGUGAGUAACGCGUAGGAAACUACCUCUUAGAGGGGGAUACCUAUUGGAAACGAUAGCUAAUACCGCAUACUAGUAGAUGGACCUGCGUUGUAUUAGCUAGGAGGUAGGGUACUGGCCUACCUAGGCAACGAUACAUAGCCGACCUGAGAGGGGGAUCGACCACACUGUGACUGAGACACGGCCCAGACUCCUACAGAAGCCAUCAUGAUUAAAUCUGCGGCAAUGGGGGGAACACUGACCGAGCAACGCCGCGUGAGUGAAGAAGGUUUUCGGAUCUUAAAACUCUGUUGUUAAGGAAGCGGUACUUAACCAGAAAGGGACGGCUAACUACGUGCCAGCAGCCGCGGUAAUAC
rnacentral:rRNA from 1 species